AACGAACGCUGGCGGCAGGCUUAACACAUGCAAGUCGAACGCCCCGUUCGGGGGAGUGGCAGACGGGUGAGUAACGCGUGGGAAUUUACCCAGCUCUACGGAACAACUCAGGGAAACUUGAGCUAAUACCGUAUACGCCCUUUUGGGGAAAGAUUUAUCGGAGUUGGAUGAGCCCGCGUUUGAUUAGCUAGUUGGUGGGUAAAGGCCUACCAAGGCGACGAUCAAUAGCUGGUCUGAGAGGAUGAUCAGCCACACUGGGACUGAGACACGGCCCAGACUCCUACGGGAGGCAGCAGUGGGGAAUAUUGGACAAUGGGCGCAAGCCUGAUCCAGCCAUGCCGCGUGAGUGAUGAAGGCCCUAGGGUUGUAAAGCUCUUUCAACGGUGAAGAUAAUGACGGUAACCGUAGAAGAAGCCCCGGCUAACUUCGUG
rnacentral:rRNA from 1 species